rnacentral:lncRNA from 1 species
CUCAGCUUACUUCAACUUUCGACCUGCAAAAAUUUAAACAAUGGCCAAGUCACAUGUAGUUAGCAAAAGCCCUUCCAUGGUUUCCAUAGUGCUGCUUUGUGGUCUGCUAAUGGCUAACCUUGCCACAACAGGUUGUCUACUUUCUUACAUAGACAAGAAAUAGGAAGAUAGAAAAACAUGGGAAUAUAUUAUUUUGUGUUUUCUCAUUAUUUAAAAUAUUGUUGAUUGUUUCUUUAAUUCUAUUAUAUAAUGUUUUUUUUUAAUUUUUAUAACUUGGUAUAAAUGUAAAACAUGCACAUCACCGGAACUUUGUCAAAAUUUCUCUUAAAUUGCAGUAUAGAUGUAUACACGUAUACCUUGUAUAUGCAUACAUAACUUCCAAGUUUGUAGUGCCUUAGCGUACUUUUGUUUUGUUUUGAUACAAACGAUAGUCUAAAUUACUCUAAAUUAAUUAGCCACUUCAAACCACAGACUUUCGCUUUUCUCUUGUAUGUAUAUAUGUAUUUAAUUUUUUCAACAUAUAUGGAUGCUAUAAAAUUUCUAUUCAUAAAGCCAAAGUAAGAAAAACUGACAUAUAUAUGCAGAAGCAAGUAUUGGUGUUUGUUAUAGAACAGUAGGAGACAACUUACCUCCACCAAGAGAAGUAAUAGCUCUCUACAAGCAAUACAACAUCCAAAGAAUGAGGCUCUAUACUCCUAAUUUUGACGCACUCCAAGCCCUCCAAGGCUCCCCAGUUGAGCUCAUUCUAGGUGUAGAAAACGAGCGCCUUAAAGACAUUUCUUCUAGCCAAGCCAGUGCAGAUGAUUGGGUCAAAAAGAAUGUCCAAAGCCA